UACGAAGGGGGCUAGCGUUGUUCGGAAUUACUGGGCGUAAAGCGCACGUAGGCGGAUACUUAAGUCAGGGGUGAAAUCCCGGGGCUCAACCCCGGAACUGCCUUUGAUACUGGGUAUCUCGAGUCCGGAAGAGGUGAGUGGAAUUCCGAGUGUAGAGAUGAAAUUCGUAGAUAUUCGGAGGAACACCAGUGGCGAAGGCGGCUCACUGGUCCGGUACUGACGCUGAGGUGCGAAAGCGUGGGGAGCAAACAGG
rnacentral:rRNA from 1 species